GAGAUUAUAUGGGAGUUCUUGUUUUCCACAGGUCUUAAUUGGUUUUCUUCAGCCUCGUCUCAUAUGAUGACCUGCCCUUCAGGACAAGUGAAGGCCUGGGAAAGCUGCAAUGGGAACCCAUCACUCAAGUCAAGAUUCAUUAGGGAUAAACAUGAUGGAGCAUAGAGACUUUCAAAAAUCUGGUGACUUAAGGAGGUUCUGUCUCUAGAGAAGAGCCACCUGAGGUUUUCAGAGAGUUCCAAAGUCAGGUUAAAACGAGAGAAUGUCGUGACAGCGAUGUUUUAAAGAUUAGAUGGGACUUUAGAGAGUCAUUAACUUACAUAUUGAGUGGCCAGUGACUAUUUAACUUCGUCUUACUUGAGGAAUUUAUAACCAUCACAAGUGGAUUGUUAAACUGUGCUCCCUAAAGCCCGUGGCUGGGAACUGUUAAGACUAAAUUAUUAACAAGAAGCCAUAUUUCUAGAAUGGAUGAGAUUCAAAAAUCAGGUUUUCUGGAGUGUUUAAUUAAAAUGGCCUAUUUAAUUUUUUCCCCA
rnacentral:lncRNA from 1 species